rnacentral:rRNA from 1 species
UGACCUCGGAUCAGGUAGGAAUACCCGCUGAACUUAUGUAUAUCAAUAAAGAGGAAGA